rnacentral:rRNA from 1 species
UAAGGAAUAUUGGUCAAUGGACGCAAGUCUGAACCAGCCAUGCCGCGUGGAGGAUUAAGGCCCUCUGGGUUGUAAACUCCUUUUAUCUGGGAAGAAAUGUACUUUUUCUUGAGUACUUGACGGUACCAGAGGAAUAAGCACCGGCUAACUCCGUGCCAGCAGCCGCGGUAAUACGGAGGGUGCAAGCGUUAUCCGGAUUCACUGGGUUUAAAGGGUGCGUAGGUGGGCAGGUAAGUCAGUGGUGAAAUCUCCGGGCUUAACCCGGAAACUGCCGUUGNUACUAUUUGUCUUGAAUAUUGUGGAGGUAAGCGGAAUAUGUCAUGUAGCGGUGAAAUGCUUAGAUAUGACAUAGAACACCAAUUGCGAAGGCAGCUUACUACACAAUCAUUGACGCUGAGGCACGAAAGCGUGGGGAUCAAACA